rnacentral:rRNA from 1 species
GAUAAACGCUGGCGGCGUGCAUGAGACAUGCAAGUCGAACGAAGGAUCGGGCUUGCUCGAUCCUUAGUGGCGGACGGCUGAGUAACGCGUAGGUGACCUACCCCGAAGUGGGGAAUAACUGCCCGAAAGGGUGGCUAAUACCGCAUGUGGUCGCACGUUCAUUCGUGCGAGUAAAGCCGCAAGGCGCUUCGGGAGGGGCCUGCGUCCGUUUAGCUCGUUGGUGGGGUAAUGGCUUACCAAGGCGACGAUCGGUAGGUGGUCUGAGAGGACGAUCACCCAGACUGGGACUGAGACACGGCCCAGACUCCUACGGGAGGCAGCAGUCGGGAAUUUUGCUCAAUGGGGGAAACCCUGAAGCAGCAACGCCGCGUGAGGGAUGAAGGCCUUCGGGUUGUAAACCUCUUUUGUCAGGGACGAUGAUGACGGUACCUGGCGAAUAAGCCACGGCUAACUACGUG